rnacentral:rRNA from 1 species
UGGGGAAUUUUGCACAAUGGAGGAAACUCUGAUGCAGCGACGCCGCGUGAGUGAUGAAGAUCUUCGGAUUGUAAAACUCUGUCCUUAGUGAAGAUAAUGACAGUAACUAAGAAGCAAGCCCUGGCGAAAUACGUGCCAGCAGCCGCGGUAAUACGUAUGGGGCAAGCGUUGUCCGGAAUUAUUGGGCGUAAAGGGUACGUAGGCGGUUUAAUAAGUCCUAAUUAAAAGGCUAUGGCUCAACCAUAGUAUGGUUAGGAAACUGUUGAACUUGAGUAGAUGAGGGGAAAGUGGAAUUCCAUGUGUAGCGGUGAAAUGCGUAGAUAUAUGGAGGAACACCAAUGGCGAAGGCAACUUUCUGGAAUCAAACUGACGCUGAGGUACGAAGGCGUGGGGAGCAAACAGG